UAGUCUGGGAAAAUUAUACCCGAAAAAACAUUGCAAUUUCAGGCAGACCCUUCUGCAAAGAAAUAAAAAUAAUCUAGUGCCCCACUCCAAUGCACAGACUUACUAUUAUGCAUCCUUGCUAAGAGCUCUGUUGAAGUCUCUGUCUACCAUAGAUUACAACAGUAACUGACCUUUGCUGAACUUAACAAGGCAUUUUAUGUCAAUGUUAAGCAUGGCAAGAAAUUUGUUAAUAUUUCCAUUUUGUAGAGGAAGAAACUGAGGCCUGAUAAUUUUACACAGACACAGACACAGACACAGACACAGACACAGACACAGACACAGACACAGACACAGACACAGACACAGACACAGAUACAUGUAUACACACACAUAUAUACAUUGAUACCUAGUCUCACAUGUACCUGGCUGGCCUUGAACUUGUUAUGUAGCUCAGGAUAACCUUAGACUUCUGAUCCUCUGUGUCUGUCAUCUGAGUGAUGGGAUCACAAGCGUGUGUCACCACAGUUGGUUUAUAUGGUUGUGGUGCUUGGAAUGAGAAUGGCCCCCAAAGGCUCAUGAAUGCCUGGUCAUCAGGGAUUGUCACUAUUGGAAAGGAUUAGCAGAUGAGGGCUUGUUAGAGGAAGUGUGUCACUGAGGUGGGUGGGCUUUGAGGUUUCAAAAGCUCAUGCUAGGUCCGGUGCUUCUGUCUUCUCAAAGCCUGUAGACUUGGGUGUAGAAUUCUCAGCUAUUGUGCCUGCUUGUGUGCUGCCCUGCCUCCUGCUCUGAGAAAAUGGACACUACCUCGGAACUAAACCCUUUCACCCUUCGACUCUGAGGUCAUGGAUGGAAGGCAGUGAACGUGACCCAGAAAGAGGAUCUCUAUUAGGCACAAAUCUACUGCUGCUUUGAUCUGGGACUUUCUAGAAACUGGGACAGGAGUGCUUCUAUCUGAAAGGGACCUUCGCUACUAGAUGUUUUUCAUGGAGACCAACUUGAUUGGGACCAAGAUUCUUUUCUUCAGC